GACCUAAUAGUGGAGUGGUUACCACACCUGCUCAGAUUAGCUCGGUCUGGUAUCACGGUUCCCUGCAGGAGGCCCCCGUUCGAUUCGGGGUUAGGUCU